UGAGAUUGUGUGUCCUGAUGACUGUUCAAU
rnacentral:piRNA from 1 species